rnacentral:tmRNA from 4 species
GGGGAUGACUGGUUUCGACUUGGAAUGGUUGUUCCAGGAGAAGCGGGCCGAGGACCCAGGGUCAACUCGUUAACGAUCCUUGGAAACCUAUAAGUGCCGAGAACACUCGCACUGACUUCGCUCUCGCUGCCUGAUCAGUGAUCGAAGGGUCAGCCCGGAUGUAGCCUUCCGUCCGGAUCCUGGCCUCGUUUAGAAGGCUUGCCGUACAGCUGUGGUCACGGGGGCUGUACGGGACGUUUCCGUGACUGGGCUUGUCUGCACCAUGUCGGUGUGAGUGCAGGAGCCGAGCA